GACGAACGCUGGCGGCGUGCUUAACACAUGCAAGUCGAACGAAGUGGCGAACGGGUGAGUAACGCGUAAUCAACCUGUCCUUCAGAGGGGGAUAACAGUUGGAAACGACUGCUAAUACCGCAUACUGAAGGAGGGGAUUGCGUCUGAUUAGCUAGUUGGAGGGGUAACGGCCCACCAAGGCGAUGAUCAGUAGCCGGUCUGAGAGGAUGAACGGCCACAUUGGGACUGAGACACGGCCCAGACUCCUACGGGAGGCAGCAGGGGGGAAUCGUCCGCAAUGGACGAAAGUCUGACGGAGAAACGCCGCGUGAGUGAUGACGGCUUUCGGGUUGUAAAGCACUUUUGGCAGGAAAGCGGUACCUGCAGAAUAAGCACCGGCUAACUACGUGCCAGCAGCCGCGGUAAUUC
rnacentral:rRNA from 1 species